rnacentral:lncRNA from 1 species
CUGCAUAUACAAUAAUAAUGUCACACUCUUUCAAUUCUCUAAAUAUGGACUAUCCUCACAUUUCAACCUCUUCAAAAUCUCUCUCUUUUUUUCCUUCAUAGAAAUUGAAUAAGAAAGGUAAAGGUGUUUAUAAAACUAAUUUUCUAGUUAAGUUAAUAAAAACAAAUAAUCCAACUAACUAACUAUAUAUUUUUUUUUUGUUUACGAAGAAUUAUUUAAUCACGUUUGAAUGAAAAAGAAAAAUGAGACGUACGUCUUUGAAUCGGCAUAAUCAAGAUAUUCUCUAUCAAUCUCCUCUGAAGAAGCGACGGGGUUUUGAUUGUUAAGUGAAGCCUGCUGAAGCCUUACUUCUGGAAACAUAUUUUCCCAACCACAUGCCUCUCCACCUAUUGUCUCACAUGCUUCUGCAGGAAACACCCUAAUAAUACAAUAUACAACUUCAUCGAAACAUUUUCCUAAAUUAUUCAUUCAUUCCUUCCUCGUGUUGUUGUCAAAUUUGUUCGAAUAGAAAAAAUAUCAACGUGUCGAUGGAAAUUUAAAACUAUGAAUAUAAUCAACUUCAAUUUACUAAAUUUACGUCAUAUUUUUAUGUUUUUAUAAAUUUGGUGUCGCCAUAAGAGUUUUCAUUAUAACAUACUAAUGACGGAAUUAUACAACAAUAAGUAUAAUUUUUUUAACCUAAUAUGUUCAUGAUAAAAGAUAGGAAAAAAAAAAAAGAUCCAUUUUAACUCUAAAUUUGUCGGAUGGUAAUAUCUAAGACUAUAUAGACUUUCAAUUUUAAUGAUUUUAAGUAAUAAAUUUUCACUUCAAAUUAAAUAUCAAUAGAAAAAAGUUAUUUUAUCCAUAUAAAAAAACAUAUAUAUAGAUGAAAUUUAUUGUUAUUGUUAUUAUUAUUUUGAAAUUUAUGAAUUUUGAGGUUGUAUUGAAUGAUUAAUUUGCAAUGAUGAGUGAAAUUAAUUUACGACUAAUCGAGUUAAAAUUGACUUAUGUAAGUUUAGAAUAAAAAUUGAUAUUUUUUUUCAAAUAUUUAAACUUAAUUUAGAAGGAUAAAAUGUUUAUUCAUAAUUUAUAUUUUUUAAUAUUAUAUUUUGAUGUUUCCACAUAAUUGAAAGCUUCAUAUUUUCAUUGACAACGAUAUAUUACAACAAUACAAUUCAAUUCACAUUUUACACCACCAUCAAAACCAUAAGCUUUUUCAUAUUUGUGUCUAAUAAUUAAUUAGUUAAUGAAUUUUAAUUUUGUAUUUAAUAGUUUCUUGCAAUUAAAAGAUGUCAAAUGAGUCUAAGUGCUUUCACUUAGAUAUUAAAUGUAUAAUAUGUAUUAGAAGUUUCUUAAAGGAAGAACCUACACAGCCUACACAGCAUAAUUUAAAGUUCAAGAUCCAAAUAUGGAAAGAUAUAACUUAAUUGAGGAGUUUGUUAUUUCAGUGUACUGCUUCAAAUUUAAUUUCAAUACAAAAGAGAAGGUUUGGAAGAGACGAAAAUAACUUACGAGAUAGCAGAACUAUAAUCAACCACAGAUGUGUCGUAGACGACCGAGGCCGUUGCUUUGAUGGACGAGCGACGGGAUGAGUGAGAAGAAAAUGUGAUCAAAGGGAAGUGAGAAGGUUUAUUACUGGAAAGUGUUGAGCUGGGGAGAAGGGAAGGAACAGCAAUGCUAAGAACAGCCUGCAUUGUGAUUUUGAUGAUAUGUUGUAAAUAAGGUUUUGAGAUUUGGAUGAGCAUAAGUAAGUUCCUAUUAACUCUUUAUAUAGAAUACAUUGGAGGGUGUCUCUCUGGAUAAGAUUGCUUUGCUUCUUCUUCCCUAUGAUCUUUAUUCAUUUACACGAAGCUUUCAAACUUUCCCAUCAUCUUGGAGAUAUUUUUUAAUCUUUCCAAGAUAUUUUUGCCCAAGGGCCCAUUAUAUAUUAUAUAUAAUGUCUACCUCAAUAAAGUUACAUACACUGCUAAAUUGCUUGUCCCCACUGAAAAUAACAUAUAAUCAAAUGGGUUAAUUUUUGGAUUAGAUCGAACACUAGUUCUCAUAUGCGUAUUAAAGGGACGAUAGACCUCUCUAUGUAUUUGCAUGGGUAUCUUUUUCACCUCUAGUCUAGACACAUUGUUAAAGCAUUUACACCGGUGUGGUAUCAAGUCGAUUAAGUGGACUUUGAUAUCCGAAUUAGUACACAAAAUGCUCGGUUUUUCUGUCAUUUAAUAGCAAACUCGUCAAACUCGCCUCAAUUAAUAUUAUUAUUAUUAUUUUGGUGAAAUAGUGUGAGCUCAGCUUGUUGACUAAAGACAUUGGAGUUUGGCUUUAAGGUAGAUAACCUCAUGGCUCUUGAAAUUGAAUCUUGCCUUGAUAUGAUAACCCUCAACCAUAUAAAAUUAUUUGAUGGAGAUAGUUAUCUCAUUUAUAUAUACUAUAAAGAUCCGAUUUACUUGGAUUAGUUUCUAAUAGACUGAGCCUUUUUUCUUUCUUUCUUUUAUAUGCGUUAGCCAAAACAGUGAAUGAACAUUUUAGUUCAGUCUUUUACAAGUAGUCCUAAGAGUAAUGACUGAUUACACUAUCUUUCGGAGGCUAAAAUGGCCCAAAUAUCUUCGGUCUAGGCCCACAAUCCAUGGUUCCUUACAUUCUUCAACUUUUUCACCUUUCUUAAUCAUUUAGAAGGUUAGUAGUACACGCCUUGUUAAUCUGCUCACUAUGACUCCAACUCCUAACCUAGAUUUCAAACAACUGUCACAUAUUUCCUCUAUCCAAUCAAUCCCCCUUCUAGGAAUGUGUUUUUUCUUUUGCAAUUAAAUUCAUUUCUAAGAUUAUAAAAGUGAGAGUGACAACUAAACUUGUGAAUAGUAAUCAAUGUCUUACUUACUGAGCUAUGUUUGAGUUAAUCUCAUCAUACAAAUGUAUAUGCCAUUGUUAUUAUUCAUCUCUUACAUACAUACAACGAUCAACUUGUGACAAUACAUACUUGUAAUAGUUGAGUUUACAUUCUUUUUUUUCCACUAUCUAUAAUCUUUUCGACUUUUUAUUUUCGUUUGUCUUAGAAAUUUUAUGAGUUUAAAUUUGUCAAAGAAGUUGGAACUUGAAAUCUAUUUUAAGGAUUAAAGCAAAGAUAGAAAAAUGAACAAAAUUUUAACCUAUUUCCACCAACCCUUUUCUUGUACUCGCGUUCAUUUUAAUUUUAGGUAGGUUGUGUCAGCUACAUGUGGUUCUGGUAAUGUCUUUAAGCAUGGAUGAUAGAAUUAAGCAUUGUGUUUUUUAUAUAUGUAUAUUACACCAUCAUAAUAUAUUAACAACUUUAAGGAAGGGUUACUUCCACCAAUGGAGCUUUAUUCAAGAACUAGAAAAAUUAACCAACUUCUACCGCAAAAGUUCAUAAUGUUUUACUGACAAUAACUUCAAAUAGAAGAGAAGUAUGUCCACGUGGGAAUUCCAGAACAAGAAUUGCAAUUUGCACAAGCAUAAGAAUAAUGAAAUGCACGUUUAACUCUUGUAUAUUACACCUAUUUUGCUAUCAACAAUUUCAAAUUCAUUGAAAUCAACAGGGUAUAUGAUCUAUUGCAAUGAGAAUCAAUAACAAUUAAUGUUUGUCGUAUACUAUGCAAGAGUAUGAAAAGCAAGUAGUAAGCUCACUUAUUCAACAGAAAAUACCGCACCUGCUUGGCUCUGGCAUCAAAACAAAUAGAAGGGCUGUUGGCCAAACUUCCCACUUCCUGCAUUUGCAUAUUUCUUUACUCAUUAUUCAACAGAAACGCCAAGGAAGCCUAAUCAGGCUCUAUCGAUAUUGCUUUUGUUGAUUUGAAGGCUUCAUCCAAGUUAUUAGAACGAGCAUAUAGCUCAGUCAUGCACUCAUAAUGCUCAGGAAUUGGUGCAAUACCAUAAUGCUGUGUCAUUCGAGUGAAGUAAGCACAUCCUUCCUUUACAUUCUUUAUAUGUACACAAGCGCAUAAAACGCCUAUGAAAGUGAUUGCAUCUGGCUUCACAUUUACCCUUUCCAUCUCACUGAAAAGAUUGAGAGCUUCCUGCCCCAACCCAUGUACUCCUAAGCUAGUGAUCAUUGAGUUCCAUGUCGGCAAACUUUUUCUAGGCAUCGUCUCAAAAACUUCUAUUGCAUCCUUUAUACUACCACAUUUGCUGUACAUGUCAAUCAGAGCCGUCCCAAGAUAAACACCAAUUUCGAUACAGUUCUUGAUGGCAUAGUCGUGAAUCCCUCGACCAAGAGUUAAGAUUCCCAUUUCAGUACAUGCUUUGAUCAAGCUCACCAUUGUAUACUCAUUUGGGAAAAUAUUCUCAGCCUGCAUUCUCUUAAACAGUUCAAGAGCUUCUUCAGGUUGUUGAUUUCUAAUAUACCCAUUUAUCAUUGCUGUCCAUGAAACAACAUUUUUAGAUGGAAUCUCAUCAAAUAUCCUUCUUGCUUCCUGUAAAUCACCACAAGAGAUCAGCCCAGAUAUCACGGUUGUCCAUGAAACCACAUUGCGAACACGCAUUUUCUCAAACACCUUCAAAGCAAAACGUGUAUGUCCACACUUAAAGUAAAAAUCUAUCAGAUUGUUCUGCACAAAUACGUCCCCUGAAAACCCGUAUUUGAUUAAAGACCCAUGAACUACUUUUCCUAGGUCAAUGGAUAAGAAAUUUGUACAAGCUUUGAUGACAAAUGGAAAUGUAAACUUAUCGGCUGCAAUUCCUUGGCAUACCAUGUUCUUAUACAACAUGAGAGCUUGUUCAGAGAGACCAUUGAUAGUGUUGGCCCUGAUUAUCAGAUUCCAAGUAAACGUACAAGGGUUUUGGAUUUGAUAGAAUAGAAGAAUCGCAUACGCUAUUCUUCCAUGAGUAGAGUAGAGAUGAAUCAGUUUCCUAGUAAGUAAUUGAUCGUUAGAAAGGCCACUACGAAUGAUUUUGGCAUGGAUUUGCCUGAGGUGUUUGAAAUUCUUGCAGUUUUGAAGUAAGAAGAGAGCCUUCUUCGCUCGUAUGUUCCCUCUUGGGGUCAGGGGAAUAUUCUUGCUCGGAAAAACGUCAUGGGUAUAUGAGAGACAUGGAACCAUUAUACAACAAAUUCAAGAAUGUUCAGCUUACGAAGUGUGCAAGGAGGAAGCAAUCAAGAAAUUGGGAGAUAUGGAGAGAAGAAAUAAAAGAUUAUUCCCAAACCUCAAACUUGAGAGACAGAAGAAGCAGCUGUGCAAUUGCUGCAUUUGGAGAUAUCUGAACCGGACUUCGAUUGAAAAUGAGAAUCCAAGGGGAAUUGAAUGUGAGAGAAGGAUUCAGUUCAGGAUUAUUAGGGGAUUGAGAAGGAUGAGAGUUCCAGUUCCGAUUGAAGUGGGAAACAGCGUUCUGGUUUUGGAGUUGAAGAUCAUAGAGAUAUACACCCAUUUGUGUGGGCUAAAUUCUUCUAGCCUUUCCCUUCCCAAUGAAUCACUCUCAAUGUAUGAACCUUAAUUUGUUAAAAAUGCUUCUCAUCUCCGCUACAUAAAAAUAUUUGUUAACUUAAUAUUAUUAUGGACAAUGAUUAGCCUCAUCUUUAAUCAACUAUCUCAUAAGUUUCUAAUCUCUACACUACAAAAUUAACAUUUUACUGUGAUGAUAAAAAAAUAUUACCAAGCAUAACAAAAUAAUAAUAAUAAACGUUCAAAAGUUGAAUUACAAACAAUGAACUUCUAAACUUUGUUUGAAAAGAAUAAACCUUAAUUUAUAUAAAAAAAAAAUGCUCCUUCUUGAAAUUCCAAAAGUUUUAAAAACCUCCUUUUAAUUUUUAAAAUUUUGUUUCCAAAAUACUCUUCUUCAACUUAAAAAAAAAGUUAUAAAAUAAUCUCAUCUAUUCAAAUCUCACUCCAAUUUUCACCAACAAAUAAAAAAAAAUCAAAAUUUUAGGUUAGAACGUAAAAUUCCAAACAAUCACAUAAAAAUCUAAAAUAAAAAUUUCUCCAACAUACUAAAACAAUAACUAGUCAAAUAAAAGUCGUAUUUGACAAUUAAAACACACUAAACUUUUAACUUUUCAAAAGUUCAAAAAAUACUCAUAAACUUUUUACAAACUAAAACAAACAAAUACUCUUGUUGUUAUAUAGCACAAGUAGUUUAUAUCGUCUUAUUUCUCUAUUUUUUUUUUCUUUUUUCUAUUAAUGAGAAUUUUAAACCAUCAUAAAUAGUCACGUCAUUUACUAAAUUAAUGACGAAAUUAUAUUUGGGACUAAUUGUAAAUUUACAUAUGUCCUUAAUUGAAAUUGAAGACAUAAUUUGGUAAAUUUAACUAAAAUUCAAUUGAGUCCAAAACUAGGUUUAAUUUAGCCAAAAUACUAAAUAAGGCCCAAAUUCAUAUGGUUGGACCAAAGGCUAGGUCUAUUGGCCAAAUAAGCCCAAGUUUAUAAAGGUGAUCUAAGAACUCUAUAAAUAGAAGAGUUUUCUUCAUUUGUGGGGGUUAAAAAAUUUUAUGCUUCUAAAGGCUGAAGAGAAUUUUCUCAACAACAAAAAGACUCCCUUCAUCUAUACAAGUUCAACUCCACAAGACACGUUUUCUCGAAAACUUUGUGCAGAAAAAUUGGCAUACACAGUGGGACCUCUCUUGUGCAGAAAAAUUGGCAUACACAGUGGGACCUCUCUAGCUCUCAUCUCUUUCUUGUUAUCCAAAUCGACAUGCAUACUAAUGACACCGAAGAAAUUUGCAUCCAAAUCUACCGCUGCAAGAGAUGCUUACAUGAAACACGUCACCGAAAAUUGUUCAAAGGAGAUUAUCAAGGAACGAGGUCAAGGUUCUGUCAUCACACAUAACAUCUUGAAGCAAUUGAUGGACUCCUCUAAAGUUAGAGUUGUCAUAAAGGAAAAUUCCUUGUAUGAUAACUUUAAGUUUCCCUCUUGCUAAUUGUUUCUCUAGUGACAAGGAGGGAAAUGAUGUUUUGUCAUAAUGGUUGAUGUAACAGACGAGACUGCUAUGACCGAGAUGGAGAGAAAAUUAAUCUUUUGAUGAAAGUUGUUGAGGAACGAGAUCACAAAAUCGCAGCUUUGAGAAAGCAAAUACAAACUCAUAAAACUAAAUGAACAAAAGAACACACACCUUUUACAUCUUUUUAGCUUUAUUACAUCUUCUUUUUCUUUUAGACAUACUAGUUAAGCUUAUCCUUUCGCUUAAUUGAUGCCCCCACUUACUUGUCGUCUAAUUGAUGGAACUGCAAAUACUACUCUCAUUUCUACUUGUCUAUCCAAAACUAAAUGCUAAACAGUUAUUCUUAUGUUGUCUUGUUUGACGAUAGUGCUAACAUACAACUUUAUCAGAAAUUUCUUACAUUUAUAACAAUGCUUCUUUUUCUUUAAUUUUGAAGUAACUUCUCCUUCUUCAGAAUAAGAUCCUAUCAACUCUUGUUUGCUUCCAUCCUCCAUUUCCUCUCAAUCUCACAUUUAUAUAGUGUUUGGAAAAGUAUUCUCUUCCAUACAUACUUUGGAAUACAUCCCAAUCUUGUAUGGCUUUUUCAGUCAAAUAUUCCUUUAAUGUAAACACCAUUCUUUCACGUCGUCAAUAAGCAUAGUUUCUACUAACGUUACCUUUACAUCAUCCUCACAACUAAUUAUUUCAAGGCACUCUCGGACCUUAUGCAUCCAUUCCUCAGCUUCCAUAGGGUACAUUGAACCACCAUACUUUUCUACUCCAUAAAGUUCUAGUCGUCCUCUUAUGUUAUUGUUUUCCAUGGAUCUAUGAGUAACACACAUUUUCUUGUUUUAGUGCUUGAAAUAACAGUAGAGAAUACUCACAUGGAUUUUUGGCAAGAUUGUGCCUAAAAUGUUGCUUACGUACGUUGCAUGUUAGCCAACUUUAUCGAAAACAAAAUUUCAUUUGAAACUACUUUUCUAUUUUUCUAUAAAAUAACUUUUUAAAACAUUUUCCUUUUCAAAGACUAAUUUUUUUCUGAUACCGAACUGGUAUCAGGUUAUUUAAUCAAACUUUAACCUUUUAUUGUUUCGUUCCCUAGGAACUUUAUUGCUUUGAUACCAAAUUGUCACACCCGUCCUGGGCAUCUGGUUGCUUGGCUCAAGACGUGGUGUGAUGUUAGCCGAAGUCAUUCGUCUCCGAAACAACUUCAACUGCCAUAUGACAUAAACAAUUGUAGUGAAAGAACUAAGACAUGCAUAGCGGAAAAAGAAUCGAAAUUAUACCCUAAUUGCCUCUAAUUAACAUGAAACCCUAAACUAAACAAUUUAGGAUUUAGGGAAUAUUACCUUUCAUGCUUUUAAAAGAAAACUCAAUAUCUCCUCACGUACACAAACUGGGACAACCACUAGAAUUGACCCAUUAAUCUCCAGACUUAGAAUCAGGUUGUGGGAUCCAAUUUGGUGAAGAAAAUAAGGGAGAUAGAUGGAAAAAGGAAGGUAAAUCAACAUAGUUUCAAGUGUGCAUCUUUUCAAGAUCCUGCAAUUCAUCAUUCAUCGCUUUCUACUACUGGCGUAUUAAUAAGAGGUAGGUUCAACAAGGAAAAACAAUAGUGGAAAAACACUGAUAAUCAUGGAGAUGGAUGAGAGGUUCUCUUAUCCAAGUAUAAUGACAGAGGGGGGUAUCUAAAGUAGGUUUAAGAACAUCAUUGGAAACAGAUGGUUGGUUUGGAUUUGUAGAAGUAGGUGCAGAUUAAGCAAGCUUAGUAUCAAGAGUGGACUUAGAGAGAGGAAAAAGUUUGACAGAUAUAUCAAUGAAGAAAGGAUGAAAACAUGAGAAGGAGGUGGGGAAUGAGGAAAAAUGAGAAAAGAUAGUAUGCUCCCAAAAGGUGACAUGGCGAGAUAUACGAAGUCUAUUGGAAAGAGGAUCUCAAUAAUAAAAACAUUUAUGUUUUGUGCCAUAGCUAAAAAAACAACAGAGUCGGACAUGUGGUUCAAGUUUAAUGUGUUCAUGAGGAUGCAAAAGAAUAAAGCAGGCACAAUCAAAUUUAUUUAGAUUAGAGUAGUUGGGAGGAGUACCAUAUAGUCUUCAAAUGGAGAGAUGUUCUGAAGAACAAAAGGAGGAAAAUGAUUGAUGGUCUAGACGGAUGUAAAAGCAUCUUCUGUCACACCUCCCUCCCAAGCCAUCUACUUUUAGCCCAAGAGAUGGUGCAACUGGCCAACAGAUAUCGCAUCUAACCUUAGUGACAACUAUCGACCUUGAACUUACUUCUACUUAAAAUGAAAACACAUCGGAAGAAUAAAUGACAACAACCAUCAAACAACAUAACAUUAAUGAGGUGAAACCCACCAUUACAUAAUACUAGGCAUCAUAAGUAUGAUAAUAGACAUAUACAAACAACUAACAUCAGAGUUAAACCUAAUAGACUCGAACACCCCAUGAUCAAAACUCUCAACUUACAUAUAACCCAAAAGACUAACUCAAAACAAUAUAUACUACAUGGGACUCAAAACUAUGUCACUAGCAGAUUGGCAAUGGAGUCAGGUAUCGGUUCCAUGAUCUCUACCUAAAUAUUAGCAAACAAAUGGAAAACAUGAGUUGGAUAGCCCAGUGAGUGACUAACUUUAAUGAAACACGCUUUAAGCAUAUGCUUGAGUAAAACAGUUAAACAAACUUUAAAGAAAUGUGAAGCUCGUAUAAAAUAUCUUUCUGAAACAUAGAACUGUAACCUCUUUCUCUGUCUUGUUAUACCGUAAAUCUUUGUAUAUCAAUCAAGAUGAAGAACUAGGCAUGGAAGUUCUAUCUCAUGAUACGAUACUUACAGGAUGAAUGACCUAGGCAUCAAUAGUGCCCUAACUUGUAGAUAGCUAGGAGAUGGCAAAGCUAGGCGUCCAAAGAGGCCCUCAUCUCAAACAUAGUCACAAAUGUUUUAACAUCACUUGCAUACUAAAAAUUAUUUUCUCAAACUUAUGUAAUGAAACAUAACUUUUUCCUCAAGCUCAAGCAAACACUUUUACUUUUGAAAAGCAUGUUAUAAAAUAAUUAACUUACAUAAGAUAGAACAUAUUUCUAAAAUAUUUUAAAGUCACUCACACCACUCGAUUAGCCUCUCGGACUAUAAAUUUUUCGAAUACUUUGUCCUAAAAAUUGAGAACUUAAACCAAAAUUAACCUUCCAUAAUCUGAAAUUACUCAAACAAACUUCACAAAUUUCGAAAACAUCAAAAAUGUCAAAAUUGAGGGUCCUGACACUAUUGGCCACAUGGCAUGGGCGGCAGGCAUGCAUGCCCACGCGUAGACCAUCAGGGAGUCUGGCAAUGUGCUUUCCAUGCGCGCCUAGCCUCUUCACGUGCUAGAGUGCCACGCAACGCUCACUACUUGAUCACACAACGCACGCACGCAGGCACACUCAGUGCGUAUAGCUUGGCAGGCGUGCCCUUUUUUUGCCACCUAGCUAUACAUUUGGCCACCUCGCGUGACACUCUAAUCACUUAAAAUAACCUCUUUUGCUUACUUUGCGCAAUGAACAACCCCUUUCACCCUUAUGCUCGGCCGACCUCCACAACAACCUAGAACACUAAAAUUUUUCAGAAAACUACUACCAACUUCAAAAAAUCAUAACUUUUAAUCCAGAACUCAAAAUGUAAAACUUUCUUCUUUAAACUUUCUUAUAAAUGAGUAAACUAUCUUACUUCAAAAUAUUAUCUUCAAAUUCAAAGAAAUAAGUUCUAUGGCCUCCUGAAACUCACCGCUACUCAGAAUCGUUCGAAAUUUGACCUUCCUAAGUUCUUCAUCAUCAAACUCCACCUUCCCUUAAUAUUUUUUGUUCAGCAGACCCACAUUAAAAAAUAGACUCACAGAAAAAGCUCAUCCAAUUUGAAACACUCAAUUUUCACAAGAGAAUUAAGAGAAAUUCUGUUUUGAAGUGAACCUAUUUAUACAGUUGUCUGGAAAGUGGACUUAGCCAACACCUGCUUGCAUGAACCAUUGUUUUGCAUGCUAAGGACACUUAGAAAUCACUACAUUGACUGUCCAAAAUGCCUAGGAUCAACCUCAAAUGCCUAACCUUCAAAAAGUCCUCACCAAAAGCAUGUCUUUUCACCAACAAAACCUCUAAUCACUUUGGCUGCAAACCUCUUCUCGUCUAAGCUUGCUUGCUCGUGUAGCACAAACUAACCUCAUAACUUCUUCAAAUGCUUAGCCAAAAUGGUAAGACACCUCUAGCAAGCUCCCUCGCCUAGCACUAAAUGUCUAGCACAUUCUUGUAGAGGUUUUCGCCUAGCAACUUCCACAUACUUGCCGCCUAACUUGGCACAAUGCUUGAGAUAACCUCUUUAGAGGUUCUUGACACUUCAUCUGGCCUAUGCGAACACCAAAAUGCCUAAGCCUUGUUCCAAAACGCCCAACUCUUCAUUCAAAAUGUCUAACUCUUUGCUACAAUAACCUCUAAACAAUUAGCCAUUUUUUAACCAAUAACAAACUUCUCUUCUUUCCCUUUUGGCUGCCAACUACCAACUUCCAUACUUAACCACAAUUUAUCUUCUAUUGUUCACCUUGAAGGGAUAAAAGCCCUAUGACAGCGGAAUAAUUUAAAGAACUGUUUCUCAAAUUAAUUUGAGAAUCUUAAAAUACCGAUACAUUGUCAAAAUUUUAGAAUCAAAAUUCUAAAUAGAUUCUAAACAUGCUUUUAAAGAUAAGAUACGAGAACUUACUUUCAAUGACGUCUCUGAUUUACAAAUCAAUCUCCAAAUUGGGACACCACUCGUGGGAGACCUUCCUAUCCUCUGGGAUGAGAUUGGUUUGUGGGAACCAAUUGGGAUGAAAAAAGGUUUAGAGAUAUUUGAGAUAAACUCCUUUUGCAGAGAGAAAACGUUUUGGCUUUUUUCUCUUAGUGAACUUCAUUUUUAAGAAAAUUGUUUUCUUCUAGAUAUUUAUAGCUCUCUUUCCUUCUUGGAAUAGGAGAGAAUCAUGAGAUUCUUAAUAUCAAAUCUACUAAUUAAUUAACAACCAAUCAAUUAGUAAAUAAUUAAUUAAAUAUAAAUAUUUCAUUCAAAUCUUAUUUGAAUAAAUAUCUCUCCAAUAUCUUAUACAUUUAUAUUAAUAUAAUUAAUUAAGUCAUAUUUAAUUAAUAUCUCUGCAAUAUCAUUUUAUAAAUUUAAUUAAAUCAAAUUUAAUUAAAUAAAACUAAAUUAUUAAUUAAUUCUUCAAUUAAUUAAUAGCUAAGUUAAGUAUAAGAUAUUUAACUUAAAUUAAAUUUGAAUCAUAUUCAAAUAUAAGUUUCUCUCAUAACCAAUAAUUUUAAUAUGAAUCCAAUUCACAUUAAUAUUUGAACUUAUUCAAAUAUUUUAUCUCACAUAAACUAAUUUUGAAUCAUAUCCAAAAUUAAAUUUAUAAUAAAGUUUCACAAACUUUAUAUUAUAAUGUAUCACUAUACAUUAAACUAAUUCCCUAAAGUAUAUUUGAACAUUUCAAAUUACAACCAAUAUAAAUAAAUCUCAUUACCCUUUACGAGCUAGGAAGGGGACCUAAUGAACCUACAGAUUAGAAGCUACAACGAUCUUGAUUAAUUGGCUAAACUCAUUAACCACAUUAAUCAAUAUUCGUUAAUUAUGUGUACACUCCACUGAAGACUCACAUCUGAACUCUUCUCACUGUAGAUAUAUUUUUGUGUCCAUGGAUAUAGACCAAUAACAGUAAGCUAGUCCUUCAUGAGUGUUCGUAACACCAACUGGGUCAAUUUACCGUUUUACCCCUGGGUUAUACUAGUGCUCCUCCAAUGAACAACCUGUUUAUGGUCCUACCAAUAAACAUAAACUCCUCUCCUGUCAUGGAGAGAGAGAGUAGGGCCCUUUGUUCAAGACCUGGAGACACCAUUUAAGGGAACACUCAUCUACUAACCCUAAAGUAGGGAAUGAGUGAAUUCCAUCUUGUGUAAUUAUGUUCACAGCUCCCCACUUGGUCUUGUCUCCAAAAUGAUAAGUUUAUUGAGUCGGCAAUCUGGCCACUCUCACCCGUACAAAUCAAAGAACAAUCCCUCGCGAACAGAAGUUCAUAACACACUCAGAAUUAAGACUAAGUUACAUAGAUCAUCCUAGUGAAAUAGAAACCUAACUAGUUAACGGAGUUACAUCUAGUGGUUACUAAUUCGCAGUCCGGUCUUAUGCAAACUCAUUGCAUAGGAUACCCUCACUCGCAUGUCAACUACAUGAGCGUGUUGGAUCAUUGUGUUUGUAUCAAAUACAAAGUGAGUCGUAUCAAAAGUGUUACCAGGAUAAGGUACCCAGCCUUAUCCAUAUACUAUAGACCCUUUAAGCUGAUUUUGAACGUUGAUCCCUAUAUGUCACUACAUAUUGUUCAAGUGUCAUUAGACAGCUUAGGAUGUUAGUUUAUUGGAUUUGAGUUAUCAAGACAAAACUAAUAAUUUAAUCAAUAACAAUUAUUACAAUAAUAACACUUUAUUAAUAACAGUCAAUUGAUUAUAUUUACAAUCUACGAGUUUUAGGACAUAAAUCCCAACACACCUAACAAAGAAAAACAACACUAAGCUUCUCAUAACACUUAACACUUAAUAUUUUUAAGCAGUUCAAGUACUAGGGUUUACAGCUUCACCCCAGAAUUUCUCAGGACAAGAAGCAGAAAGAAGGAGAGCCUGUACCGAGUUAAGAAUGUGGCGAUGCUUGCACUCGGCAUGCCCAUUAUUUUGUUAAGAGGUAUGGAGGUAGGAUUGCUGAACAAGAGUGCUUUGUUGGGAGAGAAAAGAAAGAAAAGUUUGUUGGGAGAGAAAAGAAAGAAACGUUGAGUCUUUAUACUCCAAGGCAUUAUUAGUGCAGAAGGUUUUGACAGGACAAGUGAAUUGAGUGUGAAUCAUGUUAGCAAACUCAAUAUAUGUGUGAGAUAAUUCAGAGCGAUAAUGUUUAAUAAAAUAAAUCUAUGUAAAUCGAGAGUAAUCAUUAAUGAACAGAAUAUAAUAGCGAUAAUCAUGGACAAUAGUAGUAGGGGCAUGACAUCAAUGUCAGAAUGAAUUAAAUCAAAUGGUUUAUCACAUAUAGAAGUGGAAUGAGAAAAAGGCAAGGCAUGUUAUUUAUCAAGUUUGAAAUUUAAGAAAUUGAAAGGAACAAACUUAGUAACAUUAUUCAAAUUGUUAACGAAAAUUAAAUGACAAAGUUUUUCAGAAGAAGCAUGACCAAUACAAAGAUGCCACUGAUAUGUAUCAGAGUUAGUGACAAAAGUAGAGAUGGAUGAAGGAUAAGGAAGCUAAAGUGAUAUGAGCUCAAAUAAUCUUUCCACUUUGUGACUCGUGUCAAUCGUCUGUCCCGUCUACAAAUCCUGAACCUGACAACCAUUGGGAGAAAAAGAAACAGUUAAGUCAAGACAACACAAUUGACCAACGAACACUAGAUUAAAGUUAAGUUUGAGACAUAGUAAGUAUGGGAAAGACUCAAACUCGAAGUAUCAAUGGUGCCAAUAUGAAAUAUGUUUAUACAAUUGCCAUCAACAACAUAAAUUGGAGGUAAAGAUUUUGCAAGUCUAGAAGUAAUCAUAAGAGAAAAAUCAGAUGUCAUAUGGUUGCAACAGCCAACAAGCAGAGUCAAGAAGCCAUCGAUUACCUAGUGAGACUACAAGAGCAUAGGAAGAUGAUGACAUUAACUAAUUUAAUAAGCUUUUAAGAUCACUUAUCUAAAGAUGGGAGAAGGUGGAAUCAUCUGAGGUAACAACGACAACAUAGGAGGUACCAGGUUUAGUAUCCUUGCUUUUGUAAAAGAACCUGAAGGUCAAGGUGGUCUUGUAGGACAAUUAUCCAGAAUAUGACCACGGUUAUGGCAGUACCUACACUCUAUUUUAGGAAAAUCAAUAAACUUAUGACUAGAGAGCUUACAAUUCUUACAAAAUGUGUUUGGUUCUCCACUGGGUGGAUAAGUGCCUGCAAGAACAACAACAAAUUGUUUGGAGGGAUUGAUAUCAAGACAUUUUUCUUCAAAUAAAAUCUCUUAGAUAGUUGCAUCCAAUGAGGGCAAGGGAUUGCUGUGAAGUAGGGCAACCCUAAUAAAUUCAUAUUUUGGACAUAACCCCACAAGGACCUUAAUAGGGCAAAGAUGAUCUAUGUCGAUUUUAACUUGAUUAAACUGAGUCCAAAUAGAUUGAAGAAUUGCUAGGUAUACAUUAAUAGAUUGACCAACAUCUUGAUUGAGAUUGACAAGAGUAUUGUGCAAUUGAUAGUAAUGAGCUAAUUCGAUAAAUUUAGAGCGUGUAGACAAAAAAUCCCAUAACUUUUAGCAUCCUUGAAGGCAUCAAAUUGUACAUGAAUAGUAGGGAUAGAUGUGUUACCAAGACAGGUGAUAAUUUGGUGACUUUUACUGUCCCAAUCUUCGAGGCAUGAAUUCAAUAAACUUACUAUCAUCCUUCUUAUCCUAUUUAGUUGGUUUGAUGAUAUCGCUAGUUAUAGUACGCCAUAGUUUUCGUCCAAUUAUCAAGUUUUUCAUUUGAUUUGCCUAGGUGAGAUAAUUGGUUCCAUCAAGGAUUGUGCUAAUAGGAUAAAUAAUAUGGUUUUUCUCCAUUGAAGCUAGAUUUUGAGGAACCCACAGAAGGGACUGAGUUGUUGUGAACUGAAGUUAAUCAGGAAGCCAAAUCUAAGAAAUAGUCUAGUCAGAUCUGAGUGAAUUCGAGAAGCUUGGUCGAAAUUGGUAUAGAUUUGUUCGGUGUAAAGAAGAACAGAGGGACGAUAUGGGAAUAUCGAGCGCGAACAAACAGGCAAAAUCUAGAGAUGACGUCUUCGACUAACAGAGAAACGACGAUGAACAUAGAGUUCUUCGACAAACAGAGACAAACAAAAGAGCAAACGGAUGAGAUCUGAGAAGUUUUUUACAAAUAGACGAACAAAGACUAACUAACGAAGAUGAAUGGACAGAAACAAAGACGAACGAAGACAAACUGGACCAAUCUAGAGACGAUGUCGUCGAUGACGGGCUUUGUGGCGGAGAGGAGCGACAGUGACUAGUACAAAUGAGGUACAGGGUUGACGACAUUAAAGGAAAGCUAGGUUAAACUUUUAGUCUUUGAGACCAUGUGGAGAAUAUUGUAUUGAUAAAUAUUAUGUGAUUUUACAUUAGAAGAAUUAAAGGAUAAAUACAAGACCUAUACAAAUAAAUAAAGCAGGAGAUGAAUUUACUCCUAAUUUGAAUCAUUUACAUUUAUAAAGUUGUUGAUGAUUACAUGGUUCAUCGAAGGAAGAUGAAGACGCCAUCGUGGCGUGGUUCGACAAAGAAGGGGUAACGACUAGACAGACAAUGUGACAUGAAGAAGAUGGGAUGGAAAGAGAGAAGAUGACAAUCACCAAACAAAAAAAUUAAAAAUUUAAUAUGUUUGGAUCCACAUAUUUGUAAGUUAAAUUAAGUGUACUUCAGGGACCAAAUAAACGUUAACUCAUCCGAAAUAAAUAUGUAUUUUGUUCUUUGUUUCAUACUUUCAAUUUCACCUAAUUAUACUAUACCUUUGGGUAAAAGUUUCGUGUUUUUUUUUUUUAUCUUAGACCGGUGGUUAAUUUACCCACUAAUUUUAAUCUUUUAAAAAUUAUGUAAACAAUAUUGACCAACUUUUAUGAAAUAAGGUUCUGCACAACUUUCAUCAUUUACAAAAUUCACCAUUGAUUAAAUUAAUCGAAGAUAAAAGUUAAAAGAAAAAUAUUAGUCUAAUAUUGGUUGUUGCUUUGCAAUUUUAUCAAUUUGUACCAGCCGUAUAAUAUAUAAAUUGUUUUGGAUGAAUAUGUUUUAUAAUAUUUUAACAAUUCUUUCAACAAAAAUCUAUUAAACGUUAAAAACUACAAUAAUUUUAAGUUUAAAAAUUACAAUAUUUUAUUAGUUUUCUUUUUCUUUUGGCAGUGUAAGUAACAACGAAGGGUGCAGGAUUAAAACCAUAAAUUCAACUUAUAUAACUUACAAUAUCUUAUUGAAGACAUAAUUCAAAGACGAAAUUUAGAAGUUUGAGCAAAAACAAAUAGAAAGUUCUCAGAACUAAAACAUAUAAUCUUUUUUCAUGGUAAGGCAUUAACAUGGUUGGUUGAAGUUCAAUGCAAAGAAGAAAAAAAAUUUAGAAAAAUUGAAUCAGAUAACAAAAAAAAAAAAUUGAACUCAUAGCACCUCUUUUUUUUUUUGUUGAGAAUAUGACAAAUAUCACAAGUAAUUAAUUAUAUCGAAGGAUUACCUGUUUUUAAAUUUGUUACUUUUGCAAUUUAAAAAAUGUAGUGAAAUAGACUCUAUUAUCCUAAAUUAUUUUGCAAAUGCCUCAAACAUUUAUAACAUACCACCAAGAGUGUUAUAGGCAAUAAUUAACCAUUCAAAUUAAUGUAACUAAGGGAGUGUUGACCAUCCGGCUUAACCAAUUUUAUAAGUUGAUGAUAAAUAAUUCAAUUCCAUCAACGAAUAAUUUUGACAAUUGAAUUUCAAACAGAUGAAAUUUAUCUUAAGCAUAACUCAAUUAAUUUAUAACUCAAUUAAUCAAGUCAAUAACGCAAGCAUAACUCAAUUAAUCAAGUCUUCGCCAACCCUCACUGUAAGUGAAUGAAAAUGAUAAAAUGCAAUGGAAUAAUUUGGAUUGGAUAGUUAGAUUUUUGUUGCAUUAGCCAAACAAGAAAAUGGACACUUUAACUUAAAUAGUUUGUACAAAUAAUUCCAAGAAUAACUAAUGAUACACUUUUCUUUCAGAGGAUAAAAUACAAGCUUUACAACCUAUUUAGAAACAAACCCAAAGAAUAACGUGACUCCAUUUUCUUGCUUCCCAUGAUCCUAAUCCUGACCCAACGUCAUUUCGUCAGUUCACAGAGCUCUGUAAGUCCAGCAUUGGAAACCCAAGUAGGAUAAAUCAUCUUUUGCCCAUGGCUCACGAUGUCUCAUAGACCCUCUCAGAAAGAACUGGGUUUCUACCUUACCUUGCCUCUAUUGCUUGUAGCUAGCCAGAAAGGCAUUCUCUUAACAAGUACAUAUAUAUCGAGGUGUUACACAAUAAAAUAGCAAAGAGACCCAGUUAGACAUGUGGAAUGGGUAAAUCCUAAAUCGAAAUAAGGUAUUGAUGCAUAGCGCAUCGUUCUCAACUAUGCUUACACAACAGAAUCCAAAGAAUGCUUCACACAUACAAGAUCAUCCAACUUAUUGCCAUCCAUUUUGUACAGGGAAACCCCUUCCAUCUGCUUAUAAUGGUCUUGUGCUUCUUUUCUCAAACUGUUGAAAGGUGUAAGUUCCCACUUACUAUAACUCGAGUGUUUCCUGGAAUCACUCAUAUCAGGGGAUCCUGAGAUAGGACCUUCGGUCCCAGGCUCCACAUUGCCCCACACUUUACAGCUUCCAAACUGACCCAAAUCACCACCUUGACCUGACUGACUCUUCUUCAAGCUCAAGGCCGCAGCAUGAGCCAUCCUAAUCAUUUCUCGAUCUGGAACAUCAGACCAAUCUUGCUUCCUCUCAGAUCUCAUGGGAGAGUGUAUCCUUAUAACCUGAGAAGCCCAAGCCAAAUGAGUAUAUAUACAUGGGUUACACCUUUUUGAGAUUAAAAGAACUUACACCAAGGCACUCUAAUAGCUGGUAGUAUGCCCUUCCUUGAAGUGGAUUAUGGCCUUUCCUGGGUGUGGAGAAGUACCUUGUCCUGGACCAGAGAUAAUUUCAACUUGUUAGUGGUAAGAAAGAGAACACAAGAGACAACCUGCAAGCAAGCAAUAACUUUGUCGAGAGAAGAUGCCUAGGCCUAAUAUAAAUGGAAACUGAUACAAGGGAGUUACAUCAAAUUGCGUGAGGUAAUUAGUGAAGACAUAAAAGUUCUAGGAAAUAAGUCACCUACUCUAUUCACGAGUAAAUGAGCAGAAAAAUGAAGGCCAAUUUAACUGAGUGCAACAGCAAGUUAAACUUACCAUUCAGUGUAGCCAGGGUCAACGGUGAAGCCAUAUAUGUCAACAAUAUCACACAUAGAAAGGGCUAAUUCAAUAGACUUCAUUCCUGUUCCCUUGGCACCUCUACGUAGAACAAUACCUUGGAAGAGAUAAACUGGAUUUGGAAUAAGCUGCAAUAUUAAACAUGCAAAUGUUUUACAAAAGGUAAGAGUUUCCAAAGCAUCCAGGAAGAGAAACAAUUGUGAAAACCAAACCUUUCCCUUCCAGUAAAAUCAUUACAAUUUUCAAAACUAGCUCAUCUCCUAAAUCUCAUACUGCUUUCAUCUUUUCUCACCUUCUGUCAGCACUACUGUACAGUAAUAAGACAAUUUGCCACAUGAGAAUAUGAAGUAGCUUUUUACCUUAAUCAUUGCAUUAAAGUCUCUGUGAAUCACACUCUUUAUAACAAGUACCUCGUCAUCUGAAGAGAGAAAGAAAUUGUUUAACCCAACAUCUUAAACAGAGUUGAAUUAAUAUUAACAGAAAUAAGACACCUUACCAGACCCAUUUAGAAUUGCAAUCAUAUUGCGAGCAGCACCCCUUACAACAAGACGAAAAUCCCUCUUCAGACCAACAUAUUUGGCAUAUUUCUACAUGGAAUCAUAUGGAUCAAUUAUGAGUAUCUAAUAUCUUUCAGAGUACUUGAUCACAGAGGAGAAUCAAUCAAUGUCACAAAAUGUGAAGUAUUAAGUGUCUUGUUCAAAGACAAGAAACUACGGAGAAUCAAUCAACUAAAUCUUUCUAAACAAAUAAAUGUUGGUCUUUUCGAUGAUUUCUUGAUGAGUAUGGUCUAUAGUGACACAUAACCAGCGGGGGAUAACUUGGAAAAAUGGAAAGGGAAACAACUGUGGGUACCAAAUUUAUUUGUAGGUGUGCAAGAAUGCCUUAAGUCAAAACAAAUGCAUAAGGCAUCAAUGUCCACAGCAAGAGUUCUUCAAUUUACUAUUUACAGGACAAAUUUCUGAGUAAAAGACUCUAGCUAAUCUCAAUAAGCCCUUUAAUAAAUCAAUAAACAACACAUAAUGCUCGAGUAAAUAAUUGAAAGAAUUGGCUAGUGCAGUUAGCUUACUUCAUUUACAGGUGCCUCAUUAUCCCGUAUAACAGCAUCAUGACUGUCAAUUUCAUCACCAAACUCUGUUUUCAGAAGAUCUCCAGAGUUUCCCACAACAGCACAGGUUUUAAACUGCCGGGGGUGGAAAGGAGGUUUUGAUGGCAGGAUCAAAUUUAGGUGUUCCUCACAAAGAGACCUAUUGUAACAUUUAUCUGCUCCCCUACACAAAGAUCAAUAGACUUCAAUCCACCAAAAACAUUUGUAGUUGCUGGUUCAAAUAAAACCACCAGAAGAAAUUGACUUGAAGGAAUAAGAUGAGAGUCACCCUACAAUUGAGCUAUCCUCUUUGCAGCAUAAUCAAACCACCCAUCAGGCCGUGCAUCCAAAUACUCUCUUGUUAAGACAGUAGUCAUGUUGCGGUACUGUAUAGUUCAACACACAUUAGAAUGGAUGUGAAUACUCAUUAAGAGAUUGCAUAACUCGAAGAUGACCAAUGCCAACCUGUUCCCACAAUAAUAUUGCCUCACACACAUCAUACGGGUACUCCAAAGGCUCAUAAAUCUUGAACUGCUCAUUAUACUGUCAGUACAAAGCAUAACAAAUCAGCAACAAAGAAAAUGAGUGAACAGAGAUGCAUAUUGACACAGAUGAGAGAAAGAGAGAGACCCAGGUACUAUUUGUGCCUUCUGGGAACUUGAGAAUCAACUUGCAGUGGUCAAUGAUAUGUGCAGUGAGUCCAAGCCCCCGGUUUGCCUAUACCCAAUUUUAUGAUCAGAUGAAGUUCAAAAGAUUAUUGAAACCGCAGAGAGUAAUCCGCAUAGAUAAUGCAAGGGUUUGAAAUACUACACAAACUAUGAUGCAGUAUAGGAAAAGACAGUAGAUAUUGUCAGGAUAUGUACAAACAGUAGGUCGUGAGAUUUGUCAUGACAGGCUUCAUAGUCAGGGUUAUUGGAGGGGUAAAAAGAAAAAAGAAACACUCAAAUCUCUGCCUUCAAGUAACCAAAAGUGGAGAUCAGACGGCAUAACUAACAUAAGGAUGCAUUGGACAUGGAACAAACAGUACCAUAAUUCAUAGCAUUGAAAUCAAUAAAUCCACUUGAUUCAGAAAUCAACUACAUUUGAAAUGAUCAUAUGAGCAGAACUCUUUCCCUUGGUCCAGCAACAAGAAAAGGGGAACAGAAAAUGAAAGCAAUUGAAGUAAAGGCAAGCAUAAUACAAACCACGCAUUGCUGAACGUUGGACUGAAAAUCCGACAAAAUCCGAACCUCCUCCCUAUUAAGAUCUACAAGAGGCUGGUGAUAACCUGAAAUUUGAAAGAAGAAAAGAGAAACACAGCUAAGAAACGAUGAUAAUUGAGAUGAGUGGUAAAGGGAAACAUAAGGAAUUGGAGGAGGAGAAACCUGCAAAGAAAGAGGAUUGAAUGACGAAAACAAGAAAAGAGAAAAGUGCAGCGGCGCAAACAAGAUGAAGAAGCGUAAGCCUUCUGCCGACGCCAUUGUUGGAGGAGGCGGGCUUGAGAGAUCUCAUCGAGAACCGGAUUUCUUGAAUGGGAAAGGUGGAAGAAGAAAGGAAGUGGGACUACUGAGAGCGAAUCACUCUGCGACUCCGAUCUUCCUAUGCAAUUCAAGAAGCUUGAAUCGGGUACAUCUAUCAGUUUUCAGUUUCCAGUUUCCAACCCUCUCCGAUCUUCCUUGUUUUUCCUUUUUCUUUUCUUUAUUGAUUUUUUUUAAUUUUUAAUUUAGAAAAUAAGUUAUUUUGAAAAGAAGAAAAUUAAAGUAUUUAGAAGAUAAUCAAAAUCGAUUUUUAAAUGUAUUUUAAACCAUUUUUAGAAAAGAAUGUAAACAUGAGUUUCUUCAAAAAAAAAAAAAAAAAAAUCUUUUUUUAAUUCAAUUCAGACAGAUCCUACAUCUCUGUAGAGAAUUAUACUUUUGAUACCAGUUAUUAUAGUUUAGGUUGUAUUUUGGUAUAGGUUGUAUUUUGGUAUAGACUAUUAUAGUGUUUUAUUAUAAUUUGUGUUUAAAAUGUAGAUUAUUAUAGUUUGUGUUAUGUUGCAUUUGACGACUUUUCCAUGCAGUUUGACCUCUACUGCAUAUUUUUCUUUUGGCCAAUCUGCAAUCACCUUCAACUAGUCAUUUACAAAUUCCAUUGCUUUCCUAAUGACCUCGACCAUUUGGGAUAGUUGGCCACCUCGUCUCCUCUUGCUUUCACUCGAAACAUUUUUGCCUGCACUUGACCGACAUGUCCGUGUUUCGAUCCCAACAGGUCAUUAGGUGACAUAUCCAAUCCUUAACUAGACACCAUCGGGAUCUCUAGAUCAUGUGAAUCAUCAAGGGGAACACCAUCGAAGCCACAUGACACAUUAAACUUUACAUCAACAAAUGUCUCUGAUCGUGCUCUUGCAACCCAAUCUUUACUAAACACAUAGCACAUGUCAUCAUAAUAAGGAAACGAUUUGUUUAAGAAGCCCUUUGUUGCAUGAUGACUCUGUGCAAACAUUUUAAUAGAUUAAUUGUUGAUUGGAAUUAUAAACGUACAAAGUUGUCGUAAAAUGCAUACCUUCACCCAACUAUCGAACAAUUUCGCCCAUUCUGCGAUAAUACACUGGUAUUCUUUGUUCCAUCUGAAGCCACUGUAUGAUAGCCCUCGCAUUUCUUCGAUAUCUUGGUAGGUUUUUUUUAGGGAUUUGAUAUGAUAAUCUAUAGUCGAUGAUCCCUAGAUAUUACUCCCUGAAAACUUCUAUGCCAUCAUCUAUUGUAGUUGUGCCAAGUACCCAGGUUGGAAGGUCUUGUUAUUUGAUCUCUACCCACCAUAUGAGAGUAACUCCACCAAGCACUCCACCAAUUUGGCUUCUUUCUCUCUAGUCUUGAUAAGAAUCAUGAUGUUCCAUACAAACCAAUUACAAGAUUGAAGGCAUCAAAGAUUAAUCAAUUAUUCAUUCUUCAUGUACAAGAAUUAAUAGGUCGGUUCAUCCUCAAUUCCAUGUGCCACAUGUUAAUACAAGAGAUAAGGGACCAUUUGGAAUAUUGGAUGUCAAUGUUUUCUCGGUUGAAGCGGACUAUGGGGUACACAUUCAGCUUCCAUGAAUCUAAUACUUUGACGACCAUGUGAUUUAGUUAAUAUUAUAUUUUUAUUGUAUUUUCAAUUCUUUUAGUUUGACAAGUUAGGAUAACUAUCAUUAAUAGGCUAGUAUUAAAGAUAGUGGUUGGAAGAUAGAAAGCUUAGUUAAUGUUUUAUUUUGACUUUUUAGUAUUUUCAUUAAAAUAGAAGAUCUUUACAAGGCUAUAUAAUGUAUUUAUCCUUCCACUUGCAAGAAGAAUACAAUUUGAAAUCUCAUUUUGAGACUCUUCCCUUAACUUUUUGCAAUUUUUAUGAUAAAAUGCAUACAAUUCAUUCAAUCUAACAUUUAUCAAGUUUGAUUGUGGAGUGACUCAAUUUAGAACAAGAUUUUCAAAUCUUGCUUCUAUAUCUAUGAUAUCAAAGGUAAUCUAAUCCGAACAUUCUCUUGGUUGAUCUAAAUUAGUAUAAGGAGGUGUUAGUUGCUUAUUUCAAAGGUUCUUGCUAUGUUAAUAGCUUAGAUCUUUGGACUGAGGAUUAGGAUUACCUUAUCAUGUAAACACGUUUGGGUGCUCUUGAAGAACUUGUCAUUCUAGCGUAUAUAUACACGUUAAACAAUGAGUAACAUAAGGGUGAUAGUAUGUAACAUAAUAAAUUGUACAUGGUUAAAUUUAUCAUUAAGUGAUCAUAACAUGAACAUACAUGAAUUGUGUUACUAUUGCAGACAUGUCACAAAACACUAGUAAUUCGAAUGAAAAAAAUACCCUAUGCAUUUACAAUAGUUAAAUAACCGUAAGGACACUACUAAUUACGUAACUCCUAUUCACUAAACAUUUGAUGCACUAAUUCAUCCCUUCUUUAACUCUAUUCAUUCGAGGUCUCAAUGUAAUGAAUGUCGUCACCUCCAAUUGGGGCGUAGGUUGAAUCACCCUCAUCCAAAUAGUCGGAGAAUUCAGUGUUAGUCAUCUCUCUAAUUAUAAGGUUGUGCAAGUGACAACAAGCCAUUAUCAUUCAACAUUAAACUUGGACUUGAAUUGGGUUAUGACUUCCGUUGUAGGAUUGCUCAUUGACUGUUCAACAACUCGAACACUCUUUCAAUAUCAUUCAGUGUAAAAGAAUGUUUCAUGUUAAAGAACUUUUGCGUUGUUGUUGGUGCAUUACAUCCACCACGCCAACUAAGAUGAACACAAAAUCACCUUUCAUAUCACAAACACCUAGGACGUUUGCUGCAACUUCAUCAUUUCAUGUCUUAUACCUUAGAUGAUCAGUUACACUAACAUUGACCUUGAUGUACGUGUCAUCUAACACACCUAAGCAAUUUUGCAAUGUAAUGAAUUUGUAAAUAUUCAUAUGCUAACAUGGUGCAACUAACGUCCAAACAAUUGGUAGUUACCUCAAACCACUUCCAUUGCGGAUAUGUACAUGAGUUUGGUACUAGUUGAGGUUUUUUCAACAACCGGUCAUACAAGCAUUAAAUUGCCAACAAGAUGAUGUUGAAAUGUCUAGAUAUUGUCUCACGUUUGAUUCUCUUCUAGAGAAGGAAUCAAGCAAGCACUGGUCACCAACUACUCGAGAGAAUAUGUAAAGAAACCUCCAUUAAACACGAGUUUGGAAAUGAACUUAGUUUUACUGUUUUGCCUCCAUCAUUUGUCUCCAAAGAAGAACAAGUGUUGCGUUUAGGCACCGAAAAGGGUUGCUUGCCUUAAUUAGAGAGGAAAUGUGAUGCUUAUAAAUAAGGAAACUUAGAUAUAUAUCGUGUAACGCAUUUCCAUCAUUUGUAUCUCGAUAGGCAAGCAAAUGUGGUGUUGUCGAGAGGCUGGUUUCCUUAUUUAAAAGAGGUUAAAUGAUAUAUAUCGCAUCAAGGCAUAUUGCAUUUCUUAGAUCAUCUACAAUGCGUAGACUUUCGCGCACAUUUCUUUAAUGCAAGUUAGUUUGCAUUCUAUAAUUCUUCCACUCCAUUCCCUCUUCUACAGAACCCCUUAGAGUAAUAAUAGAAUUAGCAUACAUUAAUUUAUAAUUAUAUUGUAUAGAUUUACACCACUUGAAAUUGGAAGUAGGUGUUUUAGUUAAGAGUGAUAAGAAAUUCUCUCCAUUCGACUCCGACUUAUCCAAGAAACAUUUCGCUUCACUUACACUUGGACAAGUGAGAGAAAAACUUGUACUCAACGCAAACUUAGUAGAAGUAUCCAAGUCAUAUAUUUAGAACUUUAAUGAUAUAUUUACAAAUUAUUUAUAAACGGAUGAGAGGCACAAUAAGAAGUUUUGUUAUUUAAAAUAAUUUCGCUAACUACAUAUACAUUAUUAUAAAAUUGAAACUAAAUUUACAAAAUAUAGAAUAAAAAACUUAAAAUCAUGGAGGUUUGGAUAGAUUUUGUCAUACUUUAUGAAUAGUUUUAGUUUUUUUUUUGCGAUAUUGAGAAAUGCCCCUAAUAUAUAUAUAUAAACACACAUACAUACAUAUAUAACUCAUUUAUAUUAUAAACUCACUAUGCAGAGUGAGUUCUGCACAAUGAGUUUUAUAGGUACGUGGGGCUAAUUAAUUCAAACCUCAUAUAUAUAAAAAUUAAUUAGUUAAAACCUUGUAUGUAAAAUAAAAUUGGAUUGGCAAGUAAAAUUUUGACGAAUAUUUAAAGGAUAAAAAUAUUUAAACAUAGAAUUGUACAAAUUCAGCAUUAUUGUCAGUGGGAUAGAAAGGAUAGAUUAACAAUAACAAACCAUUUUAUUUAAACACAAACUUGUAACUACCAAAAGCAAAUUCUAAGAUUUUAAUCAAAUGCCCGAUAGUGCAAAUGGACAUAUAGAUUUUAAAUACAUCUGAAAUUGCAAAUACCAUUAUUAUUACAAUCGAGAGGAUCGCUUUAAACUAUUCAAUAGCGCCGUCCACCUGCAGUGGAUAACAGAACUCGACUCGGUUUCUUCCCCUUCUUUCCCACCACUUCAUUCGCCUUUGGAGAUUCUAUACUUCCUCCAGACUUCGCCCUCGAUAUUACAUUAGCAAACGAUGGAGUUGCAUUCUGCGUGCCUGCUGUGCAAAUACACAAGCAUGGUUUAGAAGGAGCCCAAGGAUGAAAAUUCCAACAAACACAAUCGUCAGCCUUAGUAAAAAGAAGUUACGGACUAAUAAAUGCUUAUAAACACAUUUUUAAGCUUCAAACUAUUAUUUAAGCACUCUCAAAAGUUGUUCCUAAUAAAUGCUAUAUACAAUGAACAAGACCAAAAAGGCAUUUAGAUAAGUACCCGAGCUGGCAACUGAUAAAUCACUUUUCACUUCAUGAAUGUGCAGAGAAUCAGUUUCCUCAAUUCUUAAGGAUGGAGAAUCAUGUGCGGCAGCGAAGCCCAGUCUCGUAACACUUGAGAAUAGUUGCCUUCCUCCGACAGGAGGGCUCGAUGAUGUCACAGGAGAACUUCCUAAAGCUAGAGAUGAAUUAUCAAAGAAAUUAAUAUCAAUAAACUAUGUAACCAAAUCCAUGAUUGUAUAACAAAAAAUAGUUAGACUGAAUAACCUAUCAAUUUCAAACCAAACAAUGAGGAACCAAAGAGAAAAGUGAACUUUUUUCUUUCUAACACAACCAAUGUAGGUUAAGAAUUUGAACAUCCAACCGCAAGGGAAAGGAAAGGGAAGACAUGUCAAUUACCGUUGACAAAUAUUUUCUGAUGCAAUACCAUUUGUAGUAAAUCCAAUUAUAAAAACACCCAAAAUUAGACAUUACCAUAGUACAAUGGGUUUGAUUCUGUUGCCCCAUGCCAUCAUGCAAUCCACUGAUAUCCAAAUUUAACUCCAACGGACUAAAUUCUAUAAAGGCUGAAAGUAGAAUUACAUGUGUACACAAACACACAUAUUUGGAAGAGAUAAUACAUUAAAAACAACCACCAGUAACCACGAUACCGUCGCAGUCCUUAUUUAAAGAAGCGGACAAACCACCCAGUAAAUUCAGAGAACCAGAAAACCCCAUCAUCCUCUCAAGAGAAAGAAUUGUUCUGAACAGAAAGAUCCCCUAACCUAGAGCUUAUUUGGAAGCGCUAUUCCGAGUAUAUUCUUUUUCCCCUUUCUUCAUUCACAACAUUUUGUAAAUCAACCAAAAUUUACAAAAUACAAAUGCAAAUUUUACACUAUUUUUCUUUUGUUUGCACAUGACUAGAAUUUCAAUAGCCCUAAAAGCAUAUACUUCUCUUAUAGAACAGAAAAUUUAACCUCGUAAGUCAACUCUUCAGUUUUAUUCUCUCAAUUCAUGAAGAACAAAGUAUUGUUACAAGUCUACAUUUACGACAGAAUUCAUCACUAAGCUUCAAGCACAAGCAGACUGAUAAGGGCAAUGUGACAGAAGGUUAAUUAUUACCUUCAAAGUCAUCCAAAGAAAGGAUUGGAGUAUUGUGAUGAUAUGAACUUCCUGAACUGGCCAUCAUUGACAAAGAACACGUUGAAGAAGCCUCUUCUUUGAUCUUCUCCCUUCGCAUCUUAUAAUAAGAAAAUUUGUGAAUUGUGAUUACCAAGGAACGCUAUACAUAAACCAACUUCAUAAUACAGUACUGAAGUAUUAAAAUGUUAGCUUGAGAUUUCAUUAGUGCCAUUAAUCUAAAAUGGGAUAUGGAGUAUACUGACCUCUUUUAGAUCACAAGUACUAAAUACAGUAUUAUGACUUAAUAACCACAACGUCACACAGUCCAACAACGCUGACUUGAAAAGGAAACAAGCAAUGGCUUGCGUACAUGGGAAUUGAAGGGGAAACGACCAACUGAACUAGAAAGAACGGGGAACUUACCAACUACACCAAUAUUUGUAAUUAAUAAUUAGGAAUGUAUAUUAGAAUCAAUAAGAUUAUAUUCGGAACAUUAUAGGGGCCUAAUUGUAAUUGCAUAGUAGCUUUUAAGAUGGGGAGAUUAUAAAUACGGGGGAUCAGGAAGUUGAAAGGGUAAGCAUAAGUCUUGUGAAUCAGCCCAUAGUGAAUGGAUAGCAGAAGAGAAAUAGCCCUCGGGCUAAGUUCACAAAAUACCUUUUUUGCAAGUUGUUUCCUCUGCUUCUCACGCUUCUUUAUCUCAUCCAUGAAGGGAAUCAUGGAGACCGAAGGCAAUAGGUUGGUCAAAUCAAUUUCACAGAGCUGAAAAGUUUUAUGGGGAAAAUAUUAUAAACGACUUUUUAGCCCAUAGAAAUUGUUCGCGAAAAUUGAAGAAUGAGCAUACCUGAAAUGACACUGUUAAAGAAUGAGCAUACCUGAAAUGAUGUUGUUAAGGAAAAAUGACUUAAAUAACGAUAACGCCUCCUUGUAGCUUCCGUCUGAGUCACCGUUUCGUAUUCUAAAAUCUUUCCACUUAUUCUACACACAGGGGAACAAUUAUGAGAUAAUAUAAUUAAAACUAGUAAAACCCAAGACCUCCAAUCCUUUGCUUUCAAAAUGUGCAAGAAAGAAAUAAUUUGUCCUAGUAUCUAUACAAACCUGAGUGGCAGCCUAUCGUAACUCCCAAAAUGUUGUAAAAGACACUUCAUGUUUAAUGGAUGGAGAAUGAUAUGCUGGCCAUCCGUAGCCUAAAAUAAAUAGAUGGCAGGUAAGGAAAAUGCAUGUAAAAAAAUUGAUAAAUGGACCAUAAGAAAUUACCAGUUCCCAGGAAACCUUGCUUCAGUUAAUUUAUUAAUAUAAAAUUUGAAAGUAACAAUGCAAUACACUAUACAAAUAGGGACUCCAAAGCAAGGGACAACAAAUACAUCAGUGCCAGUAUUUCUUUGACGUAUCUGAUCAGUUAUAAACAUACAAUGGCAUAGUAAUGUACAAAAGCUAACUGAUGUCCAGGUGCAAGAUGAUAGCAUUUCUCACCUGGUAAAAAUUGUACGAGUCUUUGUCCUUUGCAUCUCUAAUUUCGUUUGAGUUUUGUUGAAGUUCUAAAGAUUCAUCCAUAGCCCCAUUCUGAUUCACAGGAUUAGAAUAGUUCAACUUAUCUUGCACUAUAUUACCCUGAAACUUGCAGCCUUCAUUAAUAUCAAUGGAAGAAGCCUCACGUCUGGAACUGCAUGCUCUAGAGCCAGCACUGCUAGUACUGUCAGUUGGCAGGAGCACAUUAGACCCUAUCUGAUAGUCAUUAUGCUUAAAACAAGCCUGAUGUUCAUUCCAAUACUUCUUUCUCUGCUCCAGUUGUUCCAAUGCAGCACAAACGUAUGGAAGCUUUUCAAGGUCAUCUACCUGCCCUGCUUCUGCUUUUGCUAGCCAGGCAUCUAGAUAAGACACUGCUUUCCGAACUGAGAGAUCCACAUCAGAUGUAAAUAUAAAUUUUGAGAAAGAAUCAUAGAUUUGAUCGUUGUCACUUGACCUGAUAUCAUCCUCUUGCUUAUCCUUGCAUGAUAUGGCAAAUGAAUUUUUCUGGCGAGUUAAAAGCAUAAAAUCUAUAGUAUCACCAACAGAAUAUUGCUUCAACAGCUCAAUAUGAACGGUGUAUAAAUCUUUGGGAGACAACAUCACAAAACACAAAGGGCAUUUUUUCCAGCAGUCACCAUUAUGAUCCUCCUGGCCCAUUAACAGAUACCUCAAAAUGCACGGGAAACAAUAAAUAUGUCCACAUGAGGUAAUUUGAGGACAGAGUGGAUGCUCCAGACAAAUAGGACACUGGACCAGUGAUGGUGUAGAAUACCUUACACAUACGAUAUCCUCCCAAUGCAGCAUUUUAUCAGGAUCCAUAUAUUCAUCUGUAUAAUAACCUGAAUCUAAUACCACAAAUUUGUAAUUAGCCUGCAGAAAGAGAUCCUUGUUAUACGGCUUUAUCUUCUGUGGUCUUCUUGGAGGAGGAGCUCUGGCUCGAGGAUGAGGACGAGAAAUGGGAUCGUAUUGAAAAUUAAGCAAAUGGUUGCCAUUUGUGAUUUGGGCUUUUUUUCCAGAUGAUCGUUUGUUAUUGCCAUGAGAGUUUGCAGACCUAGCACUUUGCUGAUCAUGAGAAGAAUUUAGAGUAGAUGACAUUUUACUCCCUGGUAGAACUGAUCCAUCCUCAUGUCCACUGGAUUGACACUGCAACUGGGUACCAGUGUUUUGCCGAGCUGGCAUCUUCAAAUCACUUAGAGUGUUUGAAUCACUCACCUAUACAUCAAAGUACAUGAACUAAGAUUGAAUUAUUCAUUUCCAUUUAUUAGUCCACAAGAAACAAUGAUUUAAGUUACCAACACUAAAAAAUCUUCAUUUUCAACUACCUGACUGACUUGCCUAGUCUACUCUAGUGAACGAAAAAAUUCACCAACUAUUGUCAUAAAUAUGUUAUUUGUUAGAAUUAGUGGGCUUAGCCCAUUGGGAAAUUUGCCCAAAAUAUUUUUUCCUUUUUUAUCUCUUUGUAUUUUUCUAUUUAUUUCCCUCCUAUACCUAUUGUAUUUUUAACAGAAAAUAAUAAGAAAAAUAUCAUGAUUUUUCUCCAGGUACUCGGAUUUCUAUGUAAAUUUGUGUGUUCUUCGUCUCUACUUUCAAGAUGGUAUCAAAGCGAGACAUUGAACAAACCCUAAACAACACAGCUAAUGAUGGAAAUCAAAUAGAGGAGCCAGCCGCCGGUUUUAGCACUACCAUCGAUGCUCAGAUCAACGCUGCCAUGAACGAAUGGUUCAACUGCCUUCAGAAAACAUCGAGGAACAUAAUUCCACAGAUUUUAUCGUCGUCGCGCCACAAGAAAUCAUCCACAUGCCACCCAUGCGCUGGCCCAUCCUGUUCAGAUGCCGCCGACCGACCUAAUUGUGCCACCAUUGUCUUCAUCUGCGGCCUGUAAUGUCCCCCACAUGUCGAUUCAUGUGUUGCCACCUAACUCCGGCCAGUCACCACCACUUCUGCAGUCAAAUCUGUAUACUCUGCCACCCAAUGACCUUAGUUAUUAUCCAGAUAUUAGGAACUCUCAAAUUCACUCAAUAUUUGAGGUUGGUGAGUCUUCGGCACAUUCCAACCCUAAUGUGCAAGCUUUCUCUUCUUCAGGAAUAGCUCAAUAGCAACUGAAAGGGCUUCAACAACAGAUUGCAACAAUUGACGCUAACCUAGAGACGACAUCCAACACUCCUGUACCUAUGUAUUCUGAGAAUCAGGUAACCUCGUUCCCUAUACUUUAUUCUCUUCCUAUGUGAGUGAAAAUGUUAGUACAACCACACUUGAAGCUAUUGUGCAAUUAGGUAUACCUCAAUCCUUAAGUCUCAUUAGUAUUGAUGAUAAGAAUCCUUGGAUCCCGGACUCUUGCGCCACAGAUCAUUUAACCGGUCCCUCUAAACACUUUGUGUCCUAUAUUCCGUGUGCUGGGAAUGAGAAGAUAAGAAUUGUUGAUGGCUCCUUGGUUCCCAUUGGCGAGAAAGGCAUAUUUCAUUUUUUAACGGGUUCUCAUUCCACAAUGUGUUAUAUGUGCCACGAAUUUCAAAUUAUCUUCUGCCGAUUAGCAAGAUUACUUGUGAAUUAAACUGCAAAUAAACAUUCUUAUCUGAUUCUGUUUCUUUUCAGGACUUGAGCUCGAGGAGAAUGAUUGGCACUGCCUGACACAAUAGGGUUCUUUACUUGCUUGAUGAUGAUGCCUCCUCUAGUAGCAUUUCUAGGAUGAGUCUUUUGUAAGUUGCUCAUUCCCUUAUGUAGUCCACUUCUCUUCCUUCCUAUCUCUGAGGUGAUCCCAUUCUCAUUGCCAUUCAUCUCAUCAACCGCAUGCCCUCUCGUGUCCUUCACUUCCAAACACUGUUAGAUUGCCUCAAAGAAACCGAUCCCUUCACCCGUCUCAUCCCUAAUAUUGCCCUUCGGGUGUUCGGGUGUUCGGUGUACAACCUAUAUCCAUAGUCAUGGUCCUAAUCAUACUAAAUUCACUCCUAGGGCUCAGGGUUGCGUGCUUGUUGGGUAUCCUCUGCACCAACAAGGCUAUAAAUGCUUCCACCCAUCUUCACGAAAGUACUUUGCUACCAUGGAUGUCACUUUCAUUGAAGAUCACCCUUUCUUUUCCAUUAGCCUACUUUAGGGAGAGAGUGUGAGGAAAGAGUCUAACUAUAUACUUCCCUUAAAGUCUACUUGUCCUACUGUGGUUACCUUACCUGACCCUACCCUCACAGUACAGUCCUCCCCACAAAUCAAGUUCCUUGGAAAACCUACUAUAGGAGGAAUCUCAGAAAGGGAGUUGAGUCUUCUGUUGUUUAGAUGGCUCCAGUCCAAGAUUUUGAACCAAUAAAAGAUCAAGGUAUGACUAAGUCCAUUAACUCAUACAAUAAUAACAGAAUGAGUGAGGAUGACAAGUCUGAGACGAAUUCAACUGACUCACGUACCGACAAUAAGGCAGGUGAGAAUGACAGGUCCAGGACUGCUGUUCCGGAAGAUAUGGGUGAACAGGGCAAUAUUGAUGGGGUUGUUAUAGACAGAGAGGACAGGAUCAAUGAGAACAAGGUUGUUACUGAACAAAUUGAAAACGAAACUAAGUCGAACCAUUCUGGAAAUACUAGUAAGUAUGAUCCAUUUCUUGAUCUUCCUAUUGCACUAAGGAAAGGUAGUAGGUCCUGUACAAAACACUCUGUAUCUAAUUAUGUGUCAUACGAGAAUCUCUCACCAUAGCUCAGAGCUUUUACUGCCAGCCUUGACUCUACCAUUGACUCUAGCACAAUACCCAAGAGUAUCUGCCUUGCCUUAGAGUGUCUGAAGUGGAAAGUUGUUGUCGUGGAAGAAAUGAGAGCCCUGGAAAAGAACAAGCCCUGGGAUCUCUGCACAUUCCCUAAGGGACACAAGACCGUUGGAUGCAAAGGGGUGUUUACACUCAAGUACAAAGCAGAUACAAACAUAAGGCCAAGCGAGUUGCAUAAGGGUUCACUCAAAACUAUGGAAUUGACUAUUCUGAGACUUUUUCUCCUGUUGCAAAUUUGAACACUAUUAGAGUUUUGUUGUCUGUUGUAGUGAAUAAAGAUUAGCCCCUAUAGCAACUUGAUCUUAAGAAUGCAUUCUUGAAUGAGGAUCUUAAAGAGGAAGUGUAUAUAAGUCCACCUCUACGAUUUGAAGCUCAAUUUAAUAAUCAGGUUUGCAAGCUUCGGAAGUCCUUAUACCGGUUGAAACAGUCACCAAGAGCAUGGUUUGGCAAAUUUUCCACUUUCAUCAAGUCUCAAGGGUACAAUUAGGGGCACUCCGAUCACACCUUGUUCACCAAAGUCUUAAGAUAGAAAAAUUGAAGUAUUGAGUGUCUAUGUCGAUGACAUUGUGCUAUCUAGGGAUGAUACUAAUGAGAUCGCUCAACUAAAGAAGACGGGGUCUGAGUUUGAAAUCAUGGACUUGGGAAAUCUAAUGUACUUUCUUGGGAUGGAGAUUGCUAGAUCCAAAGAAUGCAUCUCAGUGUCCCAAAGAAAGUACACAAUUGAUUUAUUAGCUGAGACAGGUAUGUUAGGAUGUCAUCCUGCUGACACACCCAUUGAGUUCAAUGUCAAACUCGAAAAUUUAGGUGACAGGGUUCCUAUUGAUAAAGAAAAAUAAGAGUGCCCGGUGGGGAAGCUGAUUUACUUAUCUCACACUAGGCCUGACAUCUCCUAUGUUGUGAGCACCGUCAGUCAAUUCCUGCAAGCACUUUAUGAGGAUUACAUGGAAGCGGUUAACAGGAUUCUGAGGUAUUUAAAAGAAACUCCUGGUAAAUGUCUGAGAUUUAGGAAGACCGACAGAAGAAGUGUUGAAGCUUAUACUGAUUUUGACUGGGUAAGAUCUAUUGUUGAUAGAAAGUCUACCUCAGGAUACUGUACUUUGGUGUAGGGCAAUCUUGUAAGUUGGAGGGGUAAGAAGCAAAGAGUUGUGGCCAGGGGCAGCGCUGAGGCUGAAUAUCGAGCUAUGAGUUUGGGAAUGUGUGAGGAAAUUUGGCUCCAAAAAGUCCUAUUUGAUCUUCAUUAGGAGUGAGACAUCAAUGAAUUUUUUUGUGAUAAUGAACUCACUAUUAUUAUUGCCAACAACCCAAUUCAACAUGAAAGAACUUAACAUGUUAGAAUUGAUCAACAUUUCAUCAAAGAAAAACUUGACAGUAGGAGCAUAUGCAUUUCGUACAUCCCUUCAAGCCAACAGAUUGCUAAUGUCCUCACCAAGGGGCUUACCAGACCAAACUUUGACUUUUAUGUUGGCAAGUUGGGCAUCAUUGAUAUUUACGUCCCAACUCGAGGGGAGUGUUGGAAUGAGUGGGAUUAGCCCAUUGGAAAAUUUGACCUAAAUAUUUUUUCCUUUCUUUAUCGCUUUGUAUUUUUCUAUUUAUUCCCCUCUUAUACCUAUUGUAUUUUUAUUAGAAAAUAAGAAGAAAAAUAUUGUGGUUUUUCUCCCGGUACUCCGGCUUCCACGUAAACUUGUGUCUUCUUUGUUUCUACUUUCAAUAUUAUUCAAUGAAAAUACAGUAAAAUAACUAAAUAUGCAGAUAUGACAUUUUCUCAAAGAACAUAGUCAAGAAAAAAAAAAUCAUGUUGUCUUGUGAGUAAAAUAUCCAUAUCUGUUUUAAUACAAAAUGUAAAAGGACCAUGAAGAAUUCCAGCCGCCUUACAACUUAAUAAAUCCUAUAUAAUGUCCUUUCCUAACUAAGCCACCACUUGCAAUAUUUAUUUAAAGGAAAAUGGAACAUUUUGUAUUUUUAUAUAAAUACUUCUAAUGCCAAAAGAUUGAUCUAUUUCAUUAAGUCUAGGAAAACAGACAUGACACGUCAAAAAACUAAUUCAUGGGUAACUUCUUUUACCAAACUUUCAGCCAUAAAAAGUGAAAGAAUUAGGGUCAUAUAAAAAAGGGAGAGCCCACAGAAGGGAGGCAAUCUAUAAAAAGAAAAUGGCCACCAAUCUAAUAAAAUAAGAUCAAAAGAAUAAUUACAGAAAGACUUAGUCAUAGACACCAGCACAGACAUGUUGAACCUAAUAUAUGAUGAAACAAAUGCUCAGCUUUAGGAAUGAUCAUUCUCGACGUACUACAAAAACCAAUUAAUUCUAUUUAUUUUUUAACAAUCAAAAUGAUUUACUAUUUCUUGUAAUAUAAGGAAAAAAACACCUAAUAUAACUAGUCGAUAUCUGCACUACAGGACUUAUAAUUUCAUUGCAUAGUUGAUAAUUAAACCAACCCACUUAACAGGCUAAAUUACUAACAAGUAACCAGUAUACAGCAUACCUUCUUGGAAGAUUCAGCACCAUUUGCAGGUUGCAAUGACGAGCCUGCAUAAAGAAAAUGAAAUGAACCAAUUAUAGCUAUUCUCUGUAAAUGAUAUUAGAAAAUACAAAUACACACCAGUCUUAAAAGUAAUGGCACAUGAGAAAUAAUCAUAUUUUAUGAUCAACAAUGGUAUAAAAACGCCCCUCGUUUCGAUAAUCAGUAGCUUAAAAACUAGAAUCAGAAAACACAGCUAAAAAGGUAAUAUCCCGUAUCCAUUCUACUUCCUUAUUGCCUAGUGAAUAGAAAAAUCCGAAUUGCGUAAUCCAAGUAAACGUGACCCAAGCGGCCAAUCUUCAGCAUAGUCAAAUGCAGAAAGAAGAACAUAACACCAUAGAGCAACGUGAGCAGCGAGAGGUAUAGUGAUUAAAGGGUGAUAAGAAAAACCAAAGUUGUCCAGUAAAUUGAAUAGUGGUUCCAAUAUAGUAGCAUUGUAGAGAGGUAUAAGCAUCCGAAUACAGAGAAAAAGAAAAAAGAAACUCACCAGAAACGUCGGAGGAGUCGGGGAGAGGAGAUUGGGGGUCGGAGAUCCGCAAGGAUGGAAAGGAAUGGGUGGGAGAGGAGAAGGAGAAGAGAGAAUCAGGUCCAUGGUGGGAAUUAGGGUUUAGAGAGGAAGCAGAGGAAGAAGAAGUUGAAGUGGAACCCUGGAUUUGAGAAGGCAGGAUGGACAUGAAAAUCUCGGAGCGGAACAAGAAGAGAGUUCGUCGUUAGCGUUCGGCCACUUCGCUCAUCGUCCUCCAAUUUAAUUUCAAUUUCCCCUUUUUAUUAUUGUUUAUUAUUUAUUAUUUAACCGACUUUCCUUUCCUUUCAUUUCCUUUCCACCAUCACUCCAACCUUCCUUUCCAUAUUAUUUGACCCCUAAAUUUCAACAUUACGUUCGUUUUUAUUUCCUUCCCACCAUCACUCCAACCCUAAUAUUAUUAUUUUGAGACUUCAAAAAGUUCAGCUCUCCCGUUACAUUAAUAUACAUAUAUCAUUUUGGUAGCUGCAUCUAAUAUAUUAAACAAGUAAGGAUAUAGGGUGAAAUUUGAAUCUAAAACCUCUAAAUUAGUAUACUCAAUUAGCUACAAACAAAAUAAUUGUUUUUUUUUCUAAAGUUUAAUUGGAUAAGAGAGUAGACAAUUCAAACAACUAACCUUUGUAUCUUAAGUCUUAACUAGAUGUGCUCUAAGUUUUAUAUAUAUAUACACGUAGCAUGUUGCGUAUGUCAUGCAACCGAAUUUGAGAGUGAAUUAUUAAGUUCAAAUUAAUGAAACAUAGGAAGGUUAGUGUAUUUAUUUAUCUCGGAGUCUCUUUUCGUAACGACUAUUUUCACUGCAAGAUCACCAAUGUUUUUUAGUUCAACAGACUCUGAAUGCAUAGCAAUAAUGUAAUUUUGAAGUUGAUCCUCAAGCAUAGAGAGUUCAAUAGCGGAAAAGUCUCUUGGAUAAAACUGAGCAAGUCGACUAAGUUUUUUACUAUUGAAUACAGCAAAUGAAUUACUCAGAUUCAAACAGAUCACACAGUGAAGCAAUUCAGUACUUGUUUCAGUAAAACGAUUAUUCAAAUCUUGAAGUUGCAUAUCAAUGACAACAUAGAAGACUUCAACACAAUAAUGAUGCAAAUUUGUAAUUGGUUGAGAUUUUCGACCUUUUCGUCCUCGAAUUAAAAACAUAGCAUCCAUUUGAAGAACUUUAAUAUCGUGACUAUUGCAGAAAUUAGAAACCCUUUCCAAUAAUGAAUCUCAACCAGACUCUCUCAUUGAUUGCAGUCCACUUUACAAAGGUUGACUAAAUUCAUUGCAUUCACAAUAUCUUGAUCUUUUCUUUGUAAGACUUGAGACAAGUCAUUUAUGAUUCCCAAUAUAUUUUUCAUGAGAUGCAUGUUGAAAACAAAGUCAAAUGACAAUAUUGAAUUCAUUAGAAUUCGUGCUUCAUAUUUUUGUUCUGAAUUUGAUCCAUUGUGCACAAUUGUCUCAAGCACGUCAACUAUUGAAGAGAACAUUGUAACUAAACUCGUUAAAGUGUUGUAAUGUGAUCCCCAUCGAGUAUAUCUGGGUCUUUUAAUCAUUAUCUCUUGAUUUAAUCCUCGUCUACUAGAUAUUUCACCAUUAUUUAAAACUUCAAAAAAUUUCAUGCUAUGUUUCUCUCAUAGAAUAUCUUAGACGUUUCGCUGAUGCUCCAAGAACAUUCAUUACAUUUGUAGCAGUAAAGAAAAGACCGACAAUUUUCAUAUGAUUUUUUGCAGUAUUUAUUAGAGCUAAUUGAAGUUGAUGAACAAAACAAUGAAUGUAAAAUGCACAUUCAUUUUCUUUCAAAAUAAGUGCUUUCAAGCCAUGGAACUCACCUUGCAUAUUACUUGAUCUAUCAUAUAUUUGUCAUCUCAAAUCAGCAAUACUUAACCCAUGUUGAGAAAAAAAAACCAUCAAUAGCUUUCAUAAGUGAUAAAACACUUGUAUAUUAUUGACAUUGAUGAUUCCAACAAAUUGUUCAAUCACAUGACCUUCAUCCACAUAUCAUAGUACAACUGACAUUUGAUCUUUUGAAGAUAUAUCUUUUGAAGAUAUAUCUUUUGAUUCGUCUGUCAAGAUAGAAAAUUGUUUGUCACUCACAUCUCUUAUAACUAUAUUAACAAUCUUUGUUGUGAUGCAGUACACUAUACUUUUUAAUAUCAGGUGUAAUCAAUUUCAAAUUAUUUGGAGCAUUUUUCAAAGUCACGGUUUCAAUAUCCUUGUUAUAGUUACAUAACCAUCGCAAUAAUUCAAGAAAGUUACCUUGAUUCUUCGAAUCAUAAGUCUCGUCACGUCCAUGGAAUGCAAGACCUUGCCGUAAUAAAAAUCGAGUACAAUCAAUUGAUGCACCUAAUCGAGUUCGAUACUCAGCUCGUGUUUGGUCAGACAUCAUAUUUCAAAUAGUCUCAAUAUGUUGAUUUUGUUUUAAAAGAGCCUCACAUUUUCCUCAAGCUUAAUUGUGUGCACUAUCUAGAUCACCAACAUGAGUUUGCAAUUUCUCUUUUUCCAAUUGGAAAAUCCUUCACUAACCAAACAUUCCUCUUCUGAUUCUUCACUUACUUCUAGUUUAAAUAGGUAACAACGUAAACAAAAUGCAGCAUCCUUUGAAAUGUUAUAUUCUAACCAAAUAGGAUAUUAUUUAAACAAAGCUGGAUUAAAUCGUCUUGACUUUGCCACAAAUUUCUUGAAUGGAAAAGUAUGAUUUCGAGGUUGACAAGGACACUUUGUAGAUAUGCAACUUGAUCUUGAAUAUUAUAGUUAUAUUAAGAAAUUCUAGUUCUUAGACCCGGAUCUGCAGGUAGUUCUUCUAAAUUGAUUUCUGUAUAAAAUCUAUCUAAAUCAGGUAUUUGUCUCUUGUUUGAAGAUGAUGCAUCUAUAGUUUCUAUUGUUGUUUUUCUUUUAAAAUAUCUCUCCACAUUGAUAUGUUUACUCUACAAAAUUAGUAUUAAACAAUAUAAGUAUUAUGAUCUAUCACAUAGACUGAAAAGUAAAAACUAAAAAUAUUAAGAAGAACCAGAACUAAGAAGAACCAGAACUUACCGGUGAAUUGAUACGAUACUUAUAUUCUAUUUUUUAAUUAUCUUUAUUAUUUAAUUUUGAAAUAAAAUAAAAUAAAUAUAUACACAAAUAAUGUAAAUAUGUGAAUUUAAAAAUUGCAUAAAAAGGAAAAAAUAAUAAUAUAUUCUUCAUGGAAUAUUGUUGAACGUCGCUGUGGUCAAUGCUUCACUCCCAGAAAAUUACCAAAAUUAAAGGUCCUUGAAACUUGUUUUGACACGUUUCAGCUCUAUCUUGAUCGAUUCUUGUUUGCAUUGGACUUGUUAUGAUAUCUAGAUCAUUAUUUUAUACAGAAAGAUGAAUUUGGUGAAUAUAUAAAGUGACGAGGGAAGAGUUAGAGUUCAAAAAGGCAUGUCAAACAUAUUCCUAAUAAUAUAUGUAUUGUACAUAGUUUACCAGCUUAAUUGAGUGUUCCAAUUAUAUAUUACCAAUUUUUUCUUCUUUGCUAUCUUUGGUUGUGCUGCUGUGGAUGGUUGAACUUUACACACUCCAUAGGAUGGUUGUCUAAUAACUACGUCCUUAAAACAUUCUAUUAAUUAUACAUUUAGUAACAAUUAGUUUAACAUACAAUUUGAAAUCAAAUUCUUUUCAUACCUUUCACAAUAGAGUUUUUCGUCUGUUGUUUGGACAAACUCUUAUAUAUCCACUUCUCAUUUAUUGAACUUAUUACCUUGCCAAUCCAAUCAUCUACAUCUUCGACUUGCUAUUACAUGAAAUAAACAUAUUAACGUAUUGUUAUUUUAUUGUCUCGUAGCGUAAAGUCUUUGAUUCUGUUUGUUCUUUUGGCAUGAAAUGUUGGGGUUGCUGUGAGUCAUUAUAUUAGAAACUACUGUUCGGUGUUCUGUAUUAACUGUUCCUCCACCUCCAUCAUUUUCAUCAUCCUUCCUUGGCUUUAAUUUUCCAACCCCACAAAUUGUUUCAAUGUCUGGAUUGUCUUGAUUUUCUUUGAUAAUAUCAAGUGUUUUUUCUUUUUUCUUCAACUUAGAUACCGCCUGAUUAUAUGUAUGAAGGUAUCAAGCUGUGUUAUAAAUCAAACAAUUUCAUUAUAAUUAUAUUACAUACCAUAAAUUCUUCACUAAUACAUUGUUUCUGCCAAUGCUCUUCUAUUGUUUUCAUUUGCUUUCCCACCACGUUCCUUUUAUCUAUAAAUUCUUCCAUUGUUUUCCUACCAAGGUUUGGUUCUUCAUCACAAUCUGUUGAUUUUCAUUCAACAUUUGAUUCAUCUCUUCAUUUUUCUCUAUCCUCUCUAGUCUUUCCGUUGUUGGUUCGUUGUCAAUUAAGUAAUGUCUUAUUCUAUUAAUUGUCAGGUUCACUACAUCUAAUUUUGUUUGAUGUUUUUUAAGUUGUAAUUCAACUUCUUUAAUGGAUUGCUUCUCCUCUACUAAAAAUGGUCCAUGACAUUUUCUUUCUUCUUGAAGGGUUAAAGGUUUGACAGUUUUCGAGCAUAUAGUAUAAUAAAUAUACAAAAACUAUUAGUAAACGUUUAUUACUUAAACUAUUAUUUAAUGAGUAUGGAUUACGAUGUUACUUUACGUGAUUCAAAACUUUCUUUUUGUUGUAAGUCCUUCUAUCUUGGCUGACUAUCAGCAACCAACUUUACUAUUUUCCAUAAUUUUCACAUCAAUUCUUCUCACAAAAUAGUUUUGUGUCGUA